AUAGUCUUAACUGUGAGUGGGUGCUAGUAUCACCUCCAAUUCACCUCCACUUUCCAGGUAGGGAAACUGAGGCACAGGGCAGCUCUGUGCUACCUCUUCUCUGUCACCCAUGCUCAGAUAAAGGUGGAUGAGAGAAUGAAGCUCAGCUCCACUUCCCCGCUAGGAGGAAAUGAGGCAGAGAAGAGAGGCAACUCGGCAUCAGUUGUCCACGGGACAGUCCCAAGCCUGGAUUUGAACACAGGUGGAGAUGUGAUGUCAUUUUAGUACUCUUUUUGAGAAGUUGAC
rnacentral:lncRNA from 1 species